rnacentral:rRNA from 1 species
UUAUCUUGAAACUCAAAGGAUUUGGCGGUAACCUAGUCUAUUUAGAGGAACCUGUCCUGUAAUCGAUAGUCCACGCAAUAUCUUGCUUUAUCUUGUAGAAACCAGCUUGUAUACCGUCAUUAUUAGAUAACUUUAAAAAAAUUAUAGAGUUAUUGCAAUAGUUUAGCUAAUAAAUUAGAUCAAGGUGCAGCUUAUGGUAGAGUAGAGAUGGGUUACAAUAUAAUAGGCAUACACGGAGUAAUAAAUGAAUACUUAUUAUGAAGGUGGAUUUAAGAGUAAA